UGAAAAAGUUGCGCCCUCAAAUUCAAGAGGCUAUUUCUUCAAAAUAGUCAGUCGUCAGUGGUCAAGCCUUUGGUCAUUCAACUGGUGAGUGGCUCACUGUUUUCUAUCUGAACCACCAAUGGUAGCGGGUCAGUCACGUGCUGCACCCUAGGAGAGGUGUGAUUUUCUGGUGACGGCGUGCGGUUCUUAUCUAACGAUGUACGUGAACGCAGUGAUCCGUCUGCCGAAAAUCUCGGAGACCUUUCCGGUGACUCAGCUUGCUGCCUUACUCUAUUCUCACCUACUCCUGAGAACUCCUAUUGUCAGGGCGCCAUGGACGACUGGAAACUAUUCUCCCUCUUCUCCAAUCGUUUCCCUCCUCUUUGGCGUCUAAAUCUGACGUCACUGGUUGUAAUGUCGGUUCCGAUCACCGUUGCUGUCAGUCAACCCGAUAAUGCUGCUCCAUAUCUGCAUAGUCUUUACUCUUGACGGAGACUGUACCUUUCCCAAGCGCGUCUAAUUUCCACUUAAACCUCGCGCUGGGAGAAUACAGACGGCCCUCUCCACUCAGCGGUUGACGAAGGGGAGAUUUUUAUCUCUCACUACCCGAAAAUUAGUCGUGAUAGUCACGUGCAGAUUGAUCCCGAAAAUGAUGGCGUUCGUCUUAAUCUCUUUCUCUGUAAGUUUCGUCACGUGGGUCAAUCCAGUUCCUUCGAUGCUUUUAAAAAAAUUCAUCAGGGUAUAACGAAAUUUCUCUCGCUGUACAAUAUUUAAAGCUCUCCUUUCCGAUGACAUUCUUUAAAAUAAAUAAAUCUUUCCGUUUUUCCUUUUACAUGCUGGACACUCAUCACCAGAUUUCUUCGUUCUUUUAUCAAUCCUGUAACAGUAAACACAAAACAACACCUAAAAUAUGAUUUUCGUAAACCAUGGGAUUUGGACAGUACCAGUUUAGACGGGGUAUUUAAGGGAGGAUGGGAUUGACAAAAACCUUUAGAAACAUUUCUAGAGAUAAAGAUUAAAUAAAUCGAUAAUCGAUAAUUCAUAUUUUUAACCAUUUUUCAUUCAUUGUUUGCAAUAAAGAUUACGUUAUUGACCAUAUAAUUUUUUUUAGGUUAUUAAGUUAUAAGCUCCUCCCCCUCUAGGCCCUUUUAUUUUCCAACUUUAUCCCACAACAUUGUCAAAAUUCCCUCUUCCUUCCAAAAUAAAAUUCUAUUUAACCUCACAUCCUAAAAUUUGUUUUUUUGUGUUGCAUUGUAGACAAAUGAAUUAUCUACAUAUCGAGUUCAUUUCUUUUUUAUUUACUUAAAUAUCUUGGAUUCUAC